AGAGUUUGAUCAUGGCUCAGAUUGAACGCUGGCGGCAGGCCUAACACAUGCAAGUCGAGCGGAAACGAGUUAUCAGAACCUUCGGGGGACGAUAACGGCGUCGAGCGGCGGACGGGUGAGUAAUGCCUAGGAAAUUGCCCUGAUGUGGGGGAUAACCAUUGGAAACGAUGGCUAAUACCGCAUGAUGCCUACGGGCCAAAGAGGGGGACCUUCGGGCCUCUCGCGUCAGGAUAUGCCUAGGUGGGAUUAGCUAGUUGGUGAGGUAAGGGCUCACCAAGGCGACGAUCCCUAGCUGGUCUGAGAGGAUGAUCAGCCACACUGGAACUGAGACACGGUCCAGACUCCUACGGGAGGCAGCAGUGGGGAAUAUUGCACAAUGGGCGCAAGCCUGAUGCAGCCAUGCCGCGUGUGUGAAGAAGGCCUUCGGGUUGUAAAGCACUUUCAGUCGUGAGGAAGGUGGUAGUGUUAAUAGCACUAUCAUUUGACGUUAGCGACAGAAGAAGCACCGGCUAACUCCGUGCCAGCAGCCGCGGUAAUACGGAGGGUGCGAGCGUUAAUCGGAAUUACUGGGCGUAAAGCGCAUGCAGGUGGUUUGUUAAGUCAGAUGUGAAAGCCCGGGGCUCAACCUCGGAAUUGCAUUUGAAACUGGCAGACUAGAGUACUGUAGAGGGGGGUAGAAUUUCAGGUGUAGCGGUGAAAUGCGUAGAGAUCUGAAGGAAUACCGGUGGCGAAGGCGGCCCCCUGGACAGAUACUGACACUCAGAUGCGAAAGCGUGGGGAGCAAACAGGAUUAGAUACCCCUGGUAGUCCACGCCGUAAACGAUGUCUACUUGGAGGUUGUGGCCUUGAGCCGUGGCUUUCGGAGCUAACGCGUUAAGUAGACCGCCUGGGGAGUACGGUCGCAAGAUUAAAACUCAAAUGAAUUGACGGGGGCCCGCACGAAGCGGUGGAGCAUGUGGUUUAAUUCGAUGCAAC
rnacentral:rRNA from 1 species